rfam:Rhodobacterales bacterium HTCC2150 1101159006517, whole genome shotgun sequence.
AUUUCAGAUGCAAAAAUGCCCGAUAUGCAAGCGGGUUGGGAACAAAUGUGUUCCAAUAUGACAGCGGGUCUUUCUGGUCUAAAUAUGGUCUAUGAGGCCG